rnacentral:rRNA from 1 species
GAUGAACGCUGGCGGCGUGCCUAAUACAUGCAAGUCGAGCGAACAGACGAGGAGCUUGCUCCUCUGACGUUAGCGGCGGACGGGUGAGUAACACGUGGAUAACCUACCUAUAAGACUGGGAUAACUUCGGGAAACCGGAGCUAAUACCGGAUAACAUGUUGAACCGCAUGGUUCAACAGUGGAAGACGGUCUUGCUGUCACUUAUAGAUGGAUCCGCGCCGCAUUAGCUAGUUGGUAAGGUAACGGCUUACCAAGGCAACGAUGCGUAGCCGACCUGAGAGGGGGAUCGGCCACACUGGAACUGAGACACGGUCCAGACUCCUACGGGAGGCAGCAGUAGGGAAUCUUCCGCAAUGGGCGAAAGCCUGACGGAGCAACGCCGCGUGAGUGAAGAAGGUCUUCGGAUCGUAAAACUCUGUUAUUAGGGAAGAACAAAUGUGUAAGUAACUAUGCACGUCUUGACGGUACCUAAUCAGAAAGCCACGGCUAACUACGU